rnacentral:rRNA from 1 species
CCUACGGGAGGCAGCAGUAGGGAAUCUUCCACAAUGGGCGAAAGCCUGAUGGAGCAACGCAGCGUGGGUGAAGAAGGUCUUCGGAUCGUAAAACCCUGUUGUUAGAGAAGAAAGUGCGUGAGAGUAACUGUUCACGUUUCGACGGUAUCUAUCCAGAAAGACACGGCUAACUACGUGCCCGCAGCCGCGGCAAUACGUAGGUGGCAAGCGUUAUCCGGAUUUAUUGGGCGUAAAGGGAACGCAGGCGGUCUUUUAAGUCUGAUGUGAAAGCCUUCGGCUUAACCGGAAUAGUGCAUUGGAAACUGGUAGACUUGAGUGCAGAAGAGGAGAGUGGAACUCGAUGUGUAGCGGUGAAAUGCGUAGAUAUAUGGAAGAACUCCGGUGGCGAAAGCAGCUCUCUGGUCUGUAACUGACGCUGAGGUUCGAAAGCGUGGGUAGCAAACAGGAUUAGAUACCCUUGUAGUC